rnacentral:misc_RNA from 1 species
GCAAACUUGGUCAUUUAGAGGAAGUAAAAGUCGUAACAAGGUUUCCGUAGGUGAACCUGCGGAAGGAUCAUUAAAGAAUUUAUAGAGUGCACUUCAUUGUGGCUCGACAUUUUCUACCAUUCACCCUAGUGCACUGUAACACCCUUUUUAUUAGACUCUACAAAGUUAUUGAAUGUAACACUUUUUUAUAAAGAAAUAAAACUUUUAACAACGGAUCUCUUGGCUCUCGCAUCGAUGAAGAACGCAGC